UACGUAGGGGCAAGCGUUGUUCGGAAUUACUGGGCGUAAAGGGCUCGUAGGCGGCCAACUAAGUCAGACGUGAAAUCCCUCGGCUUAACCGGGGAACUGCGUCUGAUACCGGAUGGCUUGAGUUUGGGAGAGGGAUGCGGAAUUCCAGGUGUAGCGGUGAAAUGCGUAGAUAUCUGGAGGAACACCGGUGGCGAAGGCGGCAUCCUGGACCAACACUGACGCUGAGUGAGCGAAAGCCAGGGGAGCAAACGGG
rnacentral:rRNA from 1 species